UUGGUUAGUAGUUUAAAACCAAAUGCCAUCCGAUGCCAGUCAUAAGUUUCAUGAAAACCAGUCUAUAUUACCAUGGUUAUUAACUAAAGUAUGGGGAAUGCAAAACAAUUUUCAAAUUUAAAGUAAAAAAAAACCUGAAUUGAAUAGAAAAUAUAGCUGACUUGGAGAAUUGUUCCAAUUAUGAUAUUUUGACAUAAAAUUCUAAAUCAGCUUUCAAUUCACUUUUCAUUUUUGGUAUUUAAC